AAGGAUUGACGGACUGAAGGCUCUUUCUCGAUUCCGUGGAAAGUGGUGCAUGGCCGUUUUUGGUUGGUGGAUCGAUCCGUCUGGUUAAUUCCGUUAACGAACGAGACCUCGGCACUCCGAAUAGCGCGGCGGACGUCGCGGCCUCCGGGCCGUCUUCCGCACGAGCUUCUUAGAGGGACCGUCCCCCGCCGGGGAAGGAGGUGCGAGGCAACGACAGGUCUGUGAUGCCCUUAGAUGUUCUGGGCCGCACGCGCAUUACACUGACGCGUCCAACGGGUGACUCCCGACCCGAAGGGGCCGGGGAAUCCGCAAGGCGCGUCGUGAUGGGGAUUGAACGUUGCAAUUGUUGUUCACGAACGAGGAAUUCCUAGUAGGCGCGGGUCAUCAACCCCGCGCCGAUUACGUCCCUGCCCUUUGUACACACCGCCCGUC
rnacentral:rRNA from 1 species